GGCCGCGGGAAUUCGAUUCAGGCCUAACACAUGCAAGUCGAGCGAGUGGAUCUCCUUCGGGAGAGAAGCUAGCGGCGGACGGGUGAGUAACACGUGGGCAACCUGCCUCAUAGAGGGGAAUAGCCUCCCGAAAGGGAGAUUAAUACCGCAUAAGAUUGUAGCUUCGCAUGAAGUAGCAAUUAAAGGAGCAAUCCGCUAUGAGAUGGGCCCGCGGCGCAUUAGCUAGUUGGUUAGGUAACGGCUCACCAAGGCGACGAUGCGUAGCCGACCUGAGAGGGUGAUCGGCCACAUUGGGACUGAGACACGGCCCAGACUCCUACGGGAGGCAGCAGUGGGGAAUAUUUCACAAGGGGGGAAACCCUGAUGCAGCAA
rnacentral:rRNA from 1 species